UACGUAGGGGGCAAGCGUUGUCCGGAAUCACUGGGCGUAAAGAGCGUGUAGGCGGCCCGGUAAGUCCGCUGUGAAAGUCCAGGGCUCAACCCUGGGAUGCCGGUGGAUACUGUCGGGCUCGAGUCCGGAAGAGGCGAGUGGAAUUCCUGGUGUAGCGGUGAAAUGCGCAGAUAUCAGGAGGAACACCGAUGGCGAAGGCAGCUCGCUGGGACGUGACUGACGCUGAGACGCGAAAGCGUGGGGAGCAAACAGG
rnacentral:rRNA from 1 species